AUCAACCUUCUGUUCUGUUAAACCUGGGAAGAAAGAGGUUUCAAAGAGUUCUUCCUCUUUAUGAGCCUUCUUACAGCCAAAUCCACUGCAGGUGGUGAAGGUAGGGGAAAAUAGGCAUUGACUUGUGCAUCUGGAUGCUGGGGAUGGACCACUGACAAGUGUUUUCAUUGAUCUGAAAUUAGCAAGACCACAGGCCAGAGUUGUCUCAAAUCCUCAUGUAUAUAUGAAUCACCAGGGCAUCUUGUUAAGAUGCUGCAGGUUUAGGGAGGGGCAGAGAGUGUGCCUUUCUAACAAGCUUCCAGGUGAUAUUGAGAUCUUGAUGCAGCUGGUUCUCAGACCGUGCUUUGAGAAGCGAGGCUACGCUUACCUGGCAGUUUGCUUUUUGGAGAUUUAUCCCGAGGGAACAUGGAUAAUAAAAGCCGUAUUGGGUCAAGAAGUUUUCAUCUAAGAAGGAGGAUUGUGCAAUAGAAAGAGGACUAACGAGGAGCAGGAAAACCAGGGCUGAAUUCCAAGUUAUGCAACAAGCUAACUGAGUGCAUUUGGAUAAGCUAUAGCCUCUCUGAGCUACAAGGAGGAGGUUAAGCUGUGUUGAACAUGUAUCCAGAGCACAAACAGAAACACCCAUUUGGAAAUGUCUGGAUUUGAUGAUGUCCAAGGUCCCUUCUUAACACGGAUAUCCUGUGAUCUCAGUGACAAGCAUAAAGAGGGAAAGAGGAAAAUCACUUUGGCUGCAUAUGCAGAAUAGAUUGGAGGGGGCAAGACUGAAGCGAGGGGCACCAGUUGGAAAUGUAUUGCAAUAAUCCAGACAGCUGAAGGCUGUGGCCUGAACCAGUGCAUGUCCAGAACUGUGAUAGAAAAUACUUAUGGAAGGAAUACUCCAGUGUUCCUGAGAUGAAUCGAGACAGCAAACAGGAAACCAUCUUUGAAAAGCAAGAAGAAGCACCAAAGGCUCUUUCACAUACACUCAAUUUUGAUUUGCGUAACCAGCUGAGGUAGGGGUUACCUCUGUUUUUACGGAUGGGAGGCAGACACGGAAAGGUGAAGCCUCAUCUAAGAUUACACAGUUGAUAAGGAAAUGGAAGCUUCAAGUGGCUGAACUGGCUUGCUGUGCACCCACAGCCAGCAAAUCUCUGGAUCAGGAUUCAAGCCACAGUCUUGUGGCUCCCUGAUGAGGCUCUAAAGCAGACAAGGCAGAGAGGAGCAGGUGAAAGAACAGAGAGGAGGGAAUGACUUACAACAGAACCAACAUGUGGCUGCUGCUGCUGCUGGUCAUCUCUAACUGACCACUUUACUGUCAGUGCCAAGCAUUGUGUCAAGCGCUGGAUCAAUAUUAUCUCACUUAAUUGUCAUCCCCGUUCUGUGAGGACAAGGAGGACAAACCAAUGUACUGUAGCUGAAAGAAACAAUUGUCAGAGGCGUGUCAUGACUGGAGAGAAUUUGAAGGGAGAGGAGGAGAGACUGCAGCUGCAGGAUGUCUGAAACCUGCAUUCAAAGGCACUGUGCUAGAGCCACAGGGAGCAAGUGCUGACUUGGUUACGCUAUCACUUCCAGGAAUCCAGCCCCCAUCCCCCAAAGUUUAUACGUGGGACGCCUACCACAGCAUGGCUGCCAAGCAGUGCCAUGUCCGCACCCGGGAUCCGAACCAGCGAACCCCGGGCCACCGAGAAGCGGAACGUGCGAACACCGGGCCGGCCCCUCUCUUUUAAACUUGAGUGGCACAAGAAAGCAGCCACCAGUCUUUCUGGGGACGUGUCCUAUCCCUUCCAGCUACAUCAUCCACACCAGCAGAGAUCCGGAACCCUAUGCAGACGACCCCAGUCCAGGUCACAAGGUGACCAUCACAGAGAAGGGAAAUAUGUUACUUGUUGACAAUACACUGAGCUCACACUGAUGGACAUGCUUAAUCUUCACUCUCCUCCUCCAAGGCUAUAUUUCUCCUGGGGGAACAUGACAUCUUUAUUUUGACAAAAUGUCCUGAGUGGGAGGUGAAGACAGACUACAGCCCUCGAGCCACCAUUUAUUUGAAACUGCCAGCCUUUUUCCUCCAGAACCAAUGAUGCAGAAGUCUUCCAAAAUUUGAACAUCAUUGUGUUAUUUAAUAGCCAAAAAUCUUAUUUUUCUCCUGAUUUAUGCUUGAUAACCCUCUUGAAAUCAUUUAAGGAUAUGUACAAAAGAUAUACUUUUAUGUAGGAUCUAGUUUGAACUCAGAAAGUUAGCAAAAUAUAAAUGAAAUGGUAGAAAAAUGGCAAUAAUGCCACCAUAUUUUGGCUAAUAUGUUCCUAUGCUAAUUAACUGGACUGAAUGUGGAAAACAUACAGAGUUCAGUGAAAGAGGACAUCUGGCCAUCCCAUCUGAACUACUUAUUAGCUCUGUGACCUUGGCUAAGUCACUUAACUUCUCUGAAUCAGUUUCCUCAUCUAUAAAAUUGAAGACACUAAUACUGAGCUUACAGUAUUAUUUGAAUUACUACUUUUACAGUGUGAACCAUACACACAUCAUCUUGUCUGAACUUCUGUCAUGCUUUAGUCAUAUUACUUUUAUAAUUACUAGUGUUUCUAUAUGUAUCAUCUCUUAUUUAGGUGAAAAUAAUUUAAUUGCUUAAUAGUUUACAGAGGGAUUCACACACAUUAGAUCAAUUGAUCUUCACAGCAACCCUGGUAAAUAAGACAGGUAGAUAUUAUUCCAUUUUAGAAGCAAGGAAGUGAGAAGCAAAGAAUUCAAUAAUUUCCCUAAACUCACACAGCUAGAAUGUAGUAGAAGGCAAUGCAAACCCGGCAUUCUGAUUCUACUCUCAUUAAUAGAGCCAUGUUCCCAGGUCAAAUGCUCACUAAAGAGAAGGGUGUAGACUUUCACUAAGACAGGACUGGGACUUCACCCUUGAAUCCACUUCCCUUCCCAUCCCAACUCCCAGGGCCUAGCGCCAUCUUUUAUUCAUAGUGGGCUCUCCACACAUAUUUGCGGAACUCAUUCAUUCACUCAAUCAUUCAAUAUUUAUUGAAUGUCUAUAUGCUAGGCACUCUGCUAAGUGCUAAGAUACUACGAUGAGAAAUACAGACUUGACUGUGCCUACAAAGACUUAUAAUAAACGGAAGGAAGGAAGGAAGGAAAGAAGGGAGGAAAGAAAGAAGGAUGGAGAGAGGGAGGAGGGAGGGGAAGCAAACUGGGCAGAUAUUCUUAAUUUUUUAAUCUGGAUAAAAUACAAAAGUUAGGUCCAGCCCAGGUCAGUCUCCAUAGUGGUGCUCAGAAAGUUCUUGGCCCCAGCCCCAGAGUAAUAUUUUUAGCAAUACUGUAAAGAUUUCUUCAAGGUGGUUUGUCGCAGGCUUUCUGGAUUGCUGGGGAGGAAAUGUGAAGGUGUGUCCGACCCGGUUGCAGAAGGUACACAUAACGGAGUGCAUCGAAGUCAGGGGAAGCUUGCUAGCUUCAUUUUCUGAUACUUCUCCUCAUCUAGAUGAGAGAAGUGUUUAUUUAGGAGUGUUCUCCCUGCCCUUGGCUUAGAAACAAGCUAUAAAUUUUACUAAUCUCAAAGAAGACCAUUUUUUUGUGUGCUUUUUCUCUUUGGUAUAAACUCAUAGACACUUGCUCUGAAAAUCAGCCCUGAGUUAUGCAUCAAUGUUUCCAAUUACAUUCCAGUUACAUGAAGUUUAACAACUCUGAAUAAUGAUUUUAGGGGCGGGGCACAGUGAUUCCCAUCCAAGGGAAGGGAAAUAACAUUCAGCACCUACCUCACAGCCAGCUCCUGUACAGCUCUAUUUUGUCACUGUUUCAUCCUUCGUACAAGACACAGCAGCCCUCAGUAAACAAAGGAUGGUAGAGCAAUACUUAAUUUCCUUAAAUUAUCCAGAAUAUCAAUUAGGAAAUUGAUUUCCUACUUUUCGUGAAAGUAUUUACAAAUGAAUAAAAUUGUGAUGUGAGUUCUCCUUUAUGCAGAAGCCAUUUUAAAAAUUGCUGAAUUCUAAUCUUUUUACAAAAAUUUUCUGCUUUUCAGAUAAUAGGCAUUGACAAGAAUUCAUUUCUUCCUGGCACAUUCACCAUGGCGUACUUGUAAACAUAAUGUACAUAAUCAGUAGAUAGAAAAAUAGCAAAGUAUAUAUCUUCUAAGAAUUUAGUGCUUGAGUAGAAUGAAUGACUUAUUAACCCGUGUUAUAGAUAAUAACUCAUGCUGCGAUACUUUCUACUGAUGAUGUUUAAACCUACAGCAGUGACCAUAGGCAUGAAAAAUUGCCAGGCCAGUCUUGCAGUCCUUUGCAACGUCUAUUUCUAGAAAUAUUUUUUAGAAGUUGGGUAUUUCUAUUUUCUACUACAUCCUCUCAGAAAACAAGUUAUACUUGUCAAUACCGAAAACUAGUUACUCUUAUUAAUGUAAAUUGCGUGAUCACAUCCUUUGGUAAUUUUAAUAAAUAAAAGACAUAAUGGCAAACCAACACCAAAAGAUUUAUAGGUUAUAA
ensembl:lncRNA